CACGAUUAUGAAUCGUAUAAACCAACUGUGGACUCUUGUCCCCACCAGAAUUAAAUCAAACAGCAAUAAUAAACACAGGUGUCCGGUUAGGACGAACGUCCGAAAACAAUGUUCUCCCUUUCACCAGCUGAGGUGAAAGGUUUCAGUAUUGGAUAUCCUAUAAAAACGAUUGUGGGAAGUAUCUCGGGGAAACUCAGGUUUAAACGAUAUACCGAAAAGUCGUAUGUAGAGAAGAAUUCGAAAGAAACUUCUACGAUCUUUCCGCCUUUCACACGUUCGCCUUUCGUCUCCAUCACUUCGUCUCCGUCGUUUCCGUCGGGAAGACUGACAACCGUUGCUACGAUUCAUCGCCUGUGCUGUCUACAUCACUUAUUUCCCAUUCCUGCAUUUUUCUCCCUGAGUGU
rnacentral:lncRNA from 1 species